CUGUGACUCCUACGGGGAGGCAGCAGUGGGGAAUAUUGCACAAUGGGGGAAACCCUGAUGCAGCCAUGCCGCGUGUGUGAAGAAGGCCUUCGGGUUGUAAAGCACUUUCAGUAGGGAGGAAGGUAGUGUAGUUAACACCUGCAUUAUUUGACGUUACCUACAGAAGAAGCACCGGCUAACUCCGUGCCAGCAGCCGCGGUAAUACGGAGGGUGCGAGCGUUAAUCGGAAUUACUGGGCGUAAAGCGCAUGCAGGCGGCCUGUUAAGUCAGAUGUGAAAGCCCGGGGCUUAACCUCGGAAUUGCAUUUGAAACUGGCAGGCUAGAGUCUUGUAGAGGGGGGUAGGAAUUUCAGGUGUAGCGGUGAAAUGCGUAGAGAUCUGAAGGAAUACCAGUGGCGAAGGCGGCCCCCUGGACAAAGACUGACGCUCAGAUGCGAAAGCGUGGGGAGCAAACAGGAUUAGAUACCCUGGUAG
rnacentral:rRNA from 1 species